GGCCGGUUAUCUCAGUUGGUUAGAGCGUGGUGGUAAUAACGCCAAGGUCGCGGGUUCGAUCCCCGUACGGGCCA
rfam:Loxodonta africana unplaced genomic scaffold scaffold_519, whole genome shotgun sequence.